UUUCGGACGACCGCUGGCGGCAUUCCUAACACAUGCAAGUCGAGCGCGCCUUCGGGUGAGCGGCGGACGGGUUAGUAACGCGUGGGAACGUGCCCUUCUCUACGGAAUAGCCUCUGGAAACGGAGAGUAAUACCGUAUACGCCCUUUGGGGGAAAGAUUUAUCGGAGAAGGAUCGGCCCGCGUUAGAUUAGGUAGUUGGUGGGGUAACGGCCUACCAAGCCUACGAUCUAUAGCUGGUUUUAGAGGAUGAUCAGCAACACUGGGACUGAGACACGGCCCAGACUCCUACGGGAGGCAGCAGUGGGGAAUCUUAGACAAUGGGGGCAACCCUGAUCUAGCCAUGCCGCGUGAGUGAUGAAGGCCUUAGGGUCGUAAAGCUCUUUCGCCUGUGAUGAUAAUGACAGUAGCAGGUAAAGAAACCCCGGCUAACUCCGUGCCA
rnacentral:rRNA from 1 species